ACAGCCAAACUAGUCUUUCGUACCUGUUUCCUUAGUGCCAUUUCCAUGUCUUUCUGAGUGUCAAUUAGUACCAGGACAGCAAAAUGGGAUGUUUAGUGCCUGACGGGACAGCUUGGUGGGGUAACAAGAGGCAUGAUGCGUCUGCCUCCCUUCAAAGCAUCUCUGCAUUGCUUUAAGAAUAUUCUGCAAGUUUAAAGCUGAUGAAGGAAGACGUACAGCAGCUAAAGUCACCAUACACUAGGCUGAAGCCCCUGUCCAUAGCUAAGGGAGCUGAUUGCUUAGAUGAAAGGAGGGUAGGCCUUGGUGAGGGAGGGGGCAGGGCAUCUGGAGCAAUUCAAUAUGCAAAGUUUGAGUGUCUGGUGAAGUAGUAAGAAGCAUGAUGUCUGUUUCCUCCACUCACUUGGGGCCUUGGAGCUGGAGAACACAAAGGAAGAACAAACAACAGCAGACCUGAUGGUUCUUAUGAGGCUGUUUGUGACAAGCUACACUAACUAUCUAAUCAAAGGUGGAAGAUGAAGGACAGUAAGAUGAAGAAGCGUCUCUCAGCCCUUCCUUUCGGGUGCCGGCUUUGUCAAACUCUUCAUGGAAAUUUGUGACCUGCCGACCACUGUGCUGCUGAUGAAGCUUGUGGAGGAGGGAGACAGUGCGAUGGGCACAGUCAUGCUGCUCAACUUUCUCAAUGCUUGGAAGGUCCAGCUUGCCUCAGAACUAGCAGUGGUGCCAGAAUGCUAGGGGUACAUCAGCUGCAUCCCACACUCCCAGGCUGUGCUUGGGACACGCUACAUGGGAGUACUUGCAUGGGAGGGCCUGAUACAAAAUGUAUUGUGAACAGGUGUAGUAUUUUUCAUGAGUUUUGGAGAUUUUGGAGGCUAUCCAAUCUAAUACUUACUUAUCAAUCUUUACAUAUAUUUGUUUCCCCAGAAACAGGAUUAAGUUUGGCAUUGCCCAUGCUGCUUUUAGUUUGAAUAAAAUGCAAUUAGAAGUAUUUUUUUUCAUUUUUCAAAAGUUGGGGUUAGUGUAUAAUUCAAUAGGUUAUGUGUUUAAGGGUUAAAGAUAUUCAAGAAAUUUUUUUGCCACGUACAUAAACCACGCAAUUUCACUCAGCCUCCAUAGGGGGGGGGGGUCGAGAGGGGCAAAGCCCCCCGUUAGAAGGUUAUGUAAAGUUAGGUUGGAGUAGUUUAAAUAUAUUCCAGGGAUUUUUUGCCAUGUAUGGAAACCUCGCAGUUUCACUCAGUUAUUAUAGCAGAGGGGGGCUUGAGAGGGGUGAAGCCCCCCCACCCCAUUAGAAGGUUAUGUAAAGUUAGGUUGGAGUAGUUUAAAUAUAUUCCAGGGAUUUUUUGCCAUGUACGGAAACCUCGCAAUUUCACUCAGUUAUUAUAGCAGAGGGGGGCUUGAGAGGGGUGAAGCCCCCCCACCCCAUUAGAAGGCUAUGUAAAGUUAGGUUGGAGUAGUUCAAAUAUGUUGGACACACGGUGUAAGCUGUGGGAAAUAUGCAGCGCGGGACGUGUAACCACAGUCAGUUGAUUGUUAAGGAAAGACCCGUCUGUCUGAUGCGAUCUCUAGUUUUAUGGAUCAAACCUGUCAGUAUGAAGUACAUGUAACCAUCACACUCCGAGAAUCAUCUAUUCUCAUCACUGCGUUUAUACAUCAGUGAUAACUGAUUGCUGUCCAGUUGAGU